rnacentral:rRNA from 1 species
UAGAGUUUGAUCCUGGCUCAGGAUGAACGCUGGCGGCGUGCUUAACACAUGCAAGUCGAACGUGAUCCCGACUUCGGUUGGGUGAAAGUGGCGAACGGGUGCGUAACACGUAGGUGACCUGCCCCGAGGUGGGGGAUAACUGUGGGAAACCAUGGCUAAUACCCCAGAUGUCUAAAUUCCUAGAAGGUUUAGACUAAAACUCUGGUGCCUCGGGAGGGGCCUGCGGACUAUCAGCUAGUUGGUGAGGUAAUGGCUUACCAAGGCUCAGACGGUUAGGGGGCGUGAGAGCGUGACCCCCCACAAUGGAACUGAGACACGGUCCAUACUCCUACGGGAGGCAGCAGUGAGGAAUAUUGCACAAUGGGGGCAACCCUGAUGCAGCAACGCCGCGUGGAUGAUGAAGGCCUUCGGGUUGUAAAAUCCUUUUCUGGGGAACGAUAGUGACGGUACCCCAGGAAUAAGUCCCGGCUAACUACGUGCCAGCAGCCCCGGUCAA